GACGAACGCUGGCGGCGUGCUUAACACAUGCAAGUCGUACGGUAAGGCCCUUGCUUGGGUACACGAGUGACUUACGGGCGGGUAACACGCGCGUAACCUGCCUACAACUUUGGGAGAACUCUAGGUAACAGGCGCUAACUCAUGAUAUGUACUCCUGCUGCAUGGAUGGGGUUGGAAAACUCGGGGCGUUGUGGAUGGACCCCCGGGCUCUUACCUUGUUUGUGGGGGAGUGGCCUUCCAAGGCGGCGGAGGGUAGCCGGCCCUGGGGGGGGAACGGGCACAAUGGGACUGAGGUACGGCCCAGGAGCCUACGGGAGGCAGGAGUGGGGAAUAUUGCCCAAUGGGCCCAAGCCUGAUGCAACAGCGCCGCGGGCGGGAAGACGGGCUUCGGGUUGUAAACCGCUUUCAGCAGGGAAGGAGCUUUUUGUGACGGUACCUGCAGAAGAAGCACCGGCUAACUACGUG
rnacentral:rRNA from 1 species